AGAAUCAACGCUGGCGGCGUGCCUAACACAUGCAAGUCGAACGAGAAAGUGGAGCAAUCCAUGAGUAAAGUGGCGCACGGGUGAGUAACACGUGACUAACCUACCUUUUAGUGGGGGAUAACCUAGGGAAACCUGGGCUAAUACCGCAUAAUACCUUCGGGUCAAAGGAGCAAUUCGCUUAAGGAGGGGGUCGCGGCCGAUUAGUUAGUUGGCGGGGUAAUGGCCCACCAAGACUAUGAUCGGUAUCC
rnacentral:rRNA from 1 species